UGAGCCCAUGUGUCCACCACUUGCUCACUGGUGGGCAAUACUGGUCUCUGGGACAGGCUGCCUGCUGCCUGGCUGUGCUCAAUUGCCUCAUAUACUCUAGCGUGGAAGGCAGACCCCUGUGCUAACAGGCUAGAGAAAGGAGUCCAAUGGCACCUACCGGCAUCUGCAUCAACACAACUGAAAAAGGUCACAAUAAUGGCGGCCAGCAGUGUCUCAGUCCUUAGGGGGUGGGCCCAGCCACCUCCUGCCUCCCCAAGAUGUGCUCCGAACUUAGCUUUAAAUGAAGCAAGAAAAUAGUCAAGGAAACCUCUAGUGAACAAAGACUUUGAGAGAAAGACAUGCUCAAGUCCCACCUCUCACCAAGAAAGAGAGAAUGGCAACAAAAGCCCUAAAUGUGGAGCUUAAAAGAGACUAGACUACAUGAGGAAGAGGAUGGGUGUCUUGGACAACUCCUGUGCCCUGCCUCACCAUGCUCUGAGUCCCACCCAGUACUUCAACCUCUGCUUGCAGUGAGGUGACCACCUCCAGGCAGCCCUCCACCAGUUGUGGCAGAUGCACCCCAACAGUGCCUUUCCUUGGGACACGUGCCAACCGCUCACUGCUUUGAGACUUCUCUGACACACUGAGUGUGGGACAUUCUUGGGAUCCUGAAAAGCAUUCAGAAGUGCUAGGCAGCUAAUAUCUGAAGAGUCUACCUUGUCCAAAUGCAGGUGGGAACUGACAGAUGAAUGCUUUUGUCUUUUAUCCCCUAGGCAAACAGCUCUGACACAUUUUGUAAGGCCCCCAGAGUGUGCCAUGGGCUUGAGUGCCAGUCACCUGUUGGUGGCCAACUUGACAACGCAUCCUGGAAUAAGCAUUCAGAUCUUCCCUUUUUCACUUGUCCUGUUUUGUGCUCCUGUUCCUUAGGAUCAGAUGCUCCUUAAAAUUCCUGACAAUCAAGUCUUUGCCUCAUGCUCUGCUUUCAGGACUGAAACUAAAACAGGAGAGACUUAGCGGAAGAAAGAAGGAAAAAAGCAGGAGGAGUGACCACAUACUGUCCCCCAAACAGUAGACAGUUAAUUGAUUCACAUUCUAAAUCAAGACUAUGAGUAACUUAGAGAAAGUAAGAGUUUUAUGGAAAGCUGGGAUUUUUUUUUUUUGAGUUACUACUUGACUCAGAACACAGUUCCCAAAUGCCUCGUUCUCCAGGGUUUCAAAUGUGGUGUCUGAAUGGAGAGCUAGAAAAUAUAUUUCCUUCCAAUCCCAGGACACUAGCUCUUUGUCAUUAUUACAUACUUUAUGGACUUUUAUUAACUUACAACAGAAACCAUAGGAAAACCAUUAUCUUCAACCUAUAAGGCAAUGAUUCUAAGUGACAGUAAUAAUAUUUUCUUAUUUUAUUUCUAUUCAACAGUAUGUGCGUGUGUGUGUGUGUGUGUGUGUGUAUGAAAGAGAUUUUG